UUGGUAUACACUUAAAAGCAAUGUUUCUAGGUUGAAGGAUGUUACAGUAUUGUUAUUCGAGGGGGAAAAUUACAUUAGGAACCAGUCAAAGAAGCACAAAGACCUGAAUGUGAGCUGACCCUGGUGUGACCACAGACACGGACUGGGCAACGUGCAUGACCUGAAUGAGAGCGCCGGGGCUCUACACCAGCUGGGCGAACAGCCAGGAGACAGCGACCACAGGAGCAGCAGCUUCCUUUCAACAGCACCUGCUAUGUGCUAGGAAAUACACCGGGUGCUUCAUGCAUAUUCACUCUAACCUUUGAACCACACCAAACACUCAGCUUUAUUGCUGAGGAAACUAAAGCAGAGAGAGGUUCAGUCUCUGACAGGCGACUGAUGACUCUCAAUCCUUGUCACCAUUGGAAGAAUGCUUUCAAAUGUCAGAAGAUGUCUGAUGAAUUCAUAAGUGAACCAGACCAAAAAAGAUGAAGGAACUGCCUCUUUUAAGGUGCAUUAGGUCUGACUAUAGUAACUGGACUGAUAGGUAGAAUAAAAAUUCCUGCUCAGCAACCUGAUGAAUUCUAAGAUGAAAAAAAAAAGACCACCCGGCAGCAUCUUUGGGUGAAUAACAGCAAGUUAAAAAAAAAAAAAAAAAAAGAAGAGCCAAACCAAACCAGUUCCAGCUGAUAAAACCCAGAGUAAAUGUGUGGCCUCCCAGCCCAGAGCUCCACCCCAGAAGGGACAGGAACUCCAUCAACGGAGCCAGUUCUAACUCCUCACAAAGUUGGAUAAAGAGGCCUCAAUACAACAACUUCAGCAUCUAACCUUGAGAUGAGAUCCAGUCAGAAUUAGAAAGUGGAUGAAAAGAAUUUUUUCUAUGCCAGCCUGCUGACAAUUAACUUUGCUUACCCUAAUUCCAAUAACAACCAAAAAAAGAAUGCUCUCAAACCCUCAUAAAUGCUUGAAGUGUCCAUUUGGAUUAUUAACAGCCUGAAUUUCUUCCUACAUGACAUGUAAGACAUAAGAAUGAGAUGUGGUAUAAAAUUUCCAAAGGGUUCAGAAUCCUACAACCUCAGAUGCCAAAGGAAUGUGGCAAGUGGAUAAAAUGAAGCCAGAAAACUGCAGAGGGUUGAACAUGGUUAUGAAACACAAAAGGCCAUGAAGUGUUUUUUGGAUAGAGUGGAGUAAAAAAUGUACUGUUAGGUCAAGCAUACCAACAGGGCAACCCAGAGAAGAACCCACCAACAUUAUGAAACUUCUCAACCUUGGCUUCAGUAUCUUCAAGAUGACACACGUUCAAAAUACAGCAUUGCCAAAAAGAAAAAGUGGAAACCAGGCUUUGAGAAUGCAAAUAACCAAAGUAUUCAGUAAAUAAAUGUCUGCACCCCAUCCAAGACGCCAUUUGGGAAGUCCAAUGAGAAACAUUAAAAUUCUAUUCCGAGGCUGCACGAAUGAACUGGAGAGAUUAUUUCUCUCCUUACACAAUCAAAGCUAAAUAACCCAAGAAAGAUCAUCUUACUUCCCCUGCUCCAACAUCUUUCUGGAUUCCUCCAAAGGACAUGCAAUUCGCUCUGAAAACUGUAACUCUUCGGAUCACAGGCUCACCCUCUCGGUUGUGAAAUUUGCCAGACUCACACACACACAGACCAGUAAAAUACACCGGAUACACACAACA